CUACAACUCAUUGCUAAUCAGCCUCCACACAUGUCCUCGCUUUCCUUAAACAACACUGACACCCUACUUAAAUCUGACCAAACUAACGUCCCUCCUUUGUUCUGCAGUGCAUGUCACGUUGCUAGCAUCGUCAAGUUUUGCAGCCGGCAUCCCCUUAGCCCCUUUCUAUCCAAUAUUCUUCCAAGGAUCUCACCACAACAGCGUAACUACCACGGCCAGCUGGAAUUCAACAUGGAUAACUUUUUAUUUUUUAAAUUUUAAAUUAACCAUUCUCAUUUACAACUUUUCACACACCUGAGUCAAUACAUGUUAGUCAACUAUGGCAGCAACUACAGCUGUGAGUAUUUCUGGUGUAGGUGAACGAAUGAUCUCCGCGUGUGUGGUUCCCACCAUGAAGCAUGGAGGAUGAGGUGUGAUGUUGUGGGGGCUCUUUGCUGGUGAUACUGUCAAUUAUUUAUUUAGAAUUCAAGGCACACUUAACCAGCAUGGCUACCACAGCAUUCUACAGCGAUACGCCAUCCCAUCUGGUUUGCGCUUAGUGGGACUAUCAUUUGCUUUUCAACAGGACAAUGACCUAACACACUUCCAGGCUGUGUAAGGGCUAUUUGACCAAGGAGUGGAGUGCUGCAUUAGAUCUGGCCUCCACAAUCACCCUACCUCAACGCAAUUGAGAUGCUUUGGGAUGUGUUGGACUGCAGAGUGAAGGAAAAGCAGCCAACAAGUGCUCAGCAUAUGUGGUAACUCCUUCAAGGCUGUUGGAAAAACAUUAUAGGUGAAGCUGGUUCAGAGAAUGCCAAGAGUGUGCAAAGCUGUCAUCAAGGCAAAGGGUGGCUACUGUUGUGACUUUACUUUCAUUAACUUCUUGGUGACAGAGGUCAGUAUUUUCGCGUCUGGAUGAAAUGCAUGCCCAAAUUCAACUGCCUGCUACUCAUCCCCAGAAGAUAAGAUAUGUAUAUUAUUACUAGAUUUAGAUAGAAAACACUGAACUUUCUAAAACGGUUUGAAUCAUGUCUGAGUAUAACAGAACUUAUUUAGCAGGCGAAACCCCGAGGACAAACCAUCUAGAUUUUUCCUUUUUGAGGUCACUCUCUUUUCAAUGGGUUUUCAUUGGGAAUCCAGAUUUCUAAGGGACCUUCUUGCAGUUCCCAUCACUUCCACUGGAUGUCUUCAGAGAUUGGUUGAGGUUUUUCCUUUGUGUAAUGAAGUACAGCCAUCGUGAACAAGGGUCACUUGAAGUGUACUGUUAGAGGCGCGUGACCAGAAAGCUAGCUACAGUUUGUUUUCCUCCUGUAUUGAACACAGAUCAUCCCGUCUUCAAUUUUAUCGAUUCUUUACAUUAAAAAAUACCCAAAGUUGUAUUACAAAAGUAGUUUGAAAUGUUUUGGCAAAGUUUACAGGUAACUUUUGAGAUAUUUCAAGAUAUUUCAAAUUUCAAGUCAAGUUGCGCAAGUUGGAACCCGGUGUUUUUCUGUCUCAAACGUGUCAAAUAAAUCGACAUUUUGUGUAUAUAUCGACAGAAUUAAUCGAACAAAAGGACCAUUUGUGAUGUUUAUGGGACAUAUUGGAGUGCCAAAGGUCAAAGGUAAGGCAUGAAUUAUAUUUUUAUUUCUGUGUUUUGUGUCGCGCCUGCAGGGUUGAAAUAUGAUUUUCUCUUUGUUUACGGAGGUGCGAUCCUCAGAUAAUAGCAUCGUUUGGUUUCGCCAAAAAGCCUUUUUGAAAUCUGACAUGUUGGCUGGAUUCACAACAAGUGUAGCUUUAAUUUGCUAUCUUACAUGUUUUGAUUUUUAUAGUCAUUUAUUUUGAAUUUGGCCCUCUGCAUUUCCCUGGCUUUUGGCCAGGUGGGACGCUAUAGCGUCUCACAUAUCCCAGAGGUUAAUCUGAUUUAUUUAAUCGCUUAAACUAUAUUUAAUUGUUGAUUAAAUUGAUCAUGUAAUAAUUAGCUCAAUAGGAUUUGGGGUACUAUGGAAUAAGUUUAACUAGUUACCAUCUCCUGAAUUAAACUCUAGUUGUUUAUAUAGCGAUAAGUCACUUAUUAAUCAUUACCUUAUAAGUCUCAUAAUCUGAACGGUCACAACAUUCUUGGAUCCACAAAAUCCUCAGCUUUACUGAUCAUUCUGUUACCACACAAAUUGGUGGAAUUAUUUAGUCAGCUAGUAAAUAAAUAUCACAGAAUAACAUGCACACUUACAUGAGACAAAGGUACCUAGUGGAUUGAUGGGGGAGAGAGACAAAGGGAAAAGGACACCUAUCAUUGAUAUGUUUGGAAACUACCCUCAAAGUAAUCAUAAUACCUUGCCCACAAACCACCGGACAUUUGGAGCAAAAGUUAUUUAUGUAUUUUACGUGUGAAUGCCACCGUUCAUCUCUCUGAAACCAAGCCUUCUUGAAAGGGUUUUUUGGCUCUUCACUCAGCACACGCGUAAGGCUCUGAUUGUCCUCCAGAGGUCAAUGUCCUUACUUGUCCGGUCACCAGUGGUGGCUUUGUUCAGAACUUGUUCUUAGCUCGUGUGGAUAGUCAGAGUUUGAACCACUGUACACGCACAGCUGCAGCCUGACAAUGUUCAGGUCUGGUGAGUUUUUCACCUUGUGUUGAGGUUCAACUUUCUAACUAUUUCAAAUGUGUGGACCACGGUCUACUUCCUUGAACAAAAUAUAAACUAUGAUCUCAUUAGAAAAAAUGAUAAUGUAAUUUUAGUUAACCGAUACUUUCAUGAUUUUAUUUCUUACGCACAACACAAGAACCUGACCUGGCAGGGUAGCCUAGUGGUUAGAGCAUUGGACUAGUAACUGAAUGGUUGCAAGUUCAAAUCCCCGAGCUGACAAGGUACAAAUCUGUCAUUCUGCCCCUGAACAGGCAGUUAAACCCACUGUUCCUAGGCUGUCAUUGAAAAUAAGAAUUUGUUAUUUAACUGACUUGCCUAGUAAAAUGAAAGUACAGUGUGUAUACUUUAAGUUACAGUAUGUUAUACCAUUUUUAAUGACAUCACAAAAUAGAUAUUCGGAUGUUAGAAAUAUUGUUCCAGUGUUAGUUUUUGGUUGGGCAAGUCUCUCUAGACAAAGGCAUUCCUUUGGUUGAUACUAAAAAGUAGAGUUCUGCUGCAUUUAUUUAUUUUAUUUUACCUUUAUUUAACCAGGUAGGCAACUUGAACAAGUUCUCAUUUACAAUUGCGACGUGGCCAAGAUAAAGCAAAGCAGUUCGACACCUACAACAAUUUACACAUGGAAUAAAACAAACAUACAGUAGAAAAAUAAGUCUAUAUACAAUGUGAGCAAAUUAGUUGAGAUGGGAGGUAAAGGCAAAAAAAGGACAUGGUGGCGAAGUAAAACACUGGAAUGGUAGAUUUGCAGUGGAAGAAUGUGCAAGAUAGAAAGAGAGAAAUAGUGGGGUGCAAAUGAGCUAAAUACAGUAAGGGGAGAGGUAGUUUGGGCUAAAGUAUAGAUGGGCUAUGUACAGGUGCAGUAAUCUGUGAGCUGCUCUGACAGCUGGUGCUUAAAGCUAGUGAGGGAAAUAAGUGUUUCCAGUUUCAGAGAUUUUUGUAGUUCGUUCAAGUCAUUGGCAGCAGAGACCUGGAUGGAGAGACGGCCAAAGGAAGAAUUGGUUUUGGGGGUGACCAGAGAGAUAUACCUGCUGGAGCGCGAGCUACAGGUGGGUGAUGCUAUGGUGGCCAGUGAGCUGAGAUAAGGGGAGACUUUACCUAGCAGGGUCUUGUAGAUGACCUGGAGCCAGUGGGUUUAGCGACGAGUAUGAAUCGAGGGCCAGCUAACGAGAGCGUACAGGUCGCAGUGGUGGGUAGUAUGGGGCUUUGGUGACAAAAAUGUAUUGAGUAGGGUAUUGGGGGCUAUUUUGUAAAUUACAUCACCAAAGUUGAGCAUUGGUAGGAUGGUCAGUUUUACAAGGGUAUGUUUGGCAGAAUGAGUGUAGGAUGCUUUGUUGCGAAAUAGGAAGCCAAUUCUAGAUUUAACUUUGGAUUGGAGAUGUUUGAUGUGAUUCUGGAAGGAGAGUUUACAGGCUAACCAGACACCUAGGUAUUUGUAGUUGCCCACAUAUUCUAAGUCGGAACCGUCCAGAGUAGUGAUGUUGGACGGGCGGGCAGGUGCACGCAGCGAUCCGUUGAAGAGCAUGCAUUUACUUUUAUUUGUAUUUAAGAGCAAUUGGAAGCCACAGAAGGAGAGUUGUAAUGGCAUUGAAGCUCGUCUGGAGGGUUGUUAACUGUGUCCAAAGAAGGGCCAGAAGUAUACAGAAUGGUGUCAUCUGUGUAAAGAUAUAUCAGAGACUCACCAGCAGCAAGAGCGACAUCAUUGAUGUAUACAGAGAAGAGUCGAACCAAGAAUUGAACCCUGUGUCACCCCCAUAGACUGCCAGAGGCCCGGACAACAGGCCCUCCGAUUUGACUCUAUCAGAGAAGUAGUUGGUGAACCAGGGCGAGGCAUUCGUGUCUGCCGAUGAUGUGGUGAUUGACAGAGUCGAAAGCCUUGGCCAGGUCAUUGAAUACGGCUGCACAGUAUUGUUUCUUAUCGAUGGCGGUUAAGAUAUCAUUUAGGUCCUUGAACGUGGCUGAGGUGCACCCAUGACUAGCUCUGAAAGCAGAUUGCAUAGCGGAGAAGGUAUGGUGGGAUUCCUUAGAAAAGCAGGGUAGGAUAGAUAUCGGUCCGUAGCAGUUUGGGUCAAGAGUGACCCCUCCCUUUGAAGAGGGGGAUGACCGCAGCUGCUUUCCAAUCUUUGGGAAUCUCAGAUGACACAGGCUAAUAAUAGGGGUUGCAACAGUUUCAGCAGAUAAUUUUAGAGAGGGUCCAGAUUUUGCAGCUCUUUCAGAACAUUGGCUGACUGGAUUAGGGAGAAAUGGGGAAGGCUUGGGUGAGUUGCUUUGGCGGGGGUGCAGUGCUAUUGACCGGGGUAGGGGUAGCCAGGUGGAAAGCAUGGCCAGCCGUAGAACAAUGCUUUUUGAAAUUCUCAAUUAUAGUGUUUAUCGGUGGUGACAGUGUUGCCUAUCCUCAGUGCAGUGGGCAGCUGGGAGGUGUUCUUAUUCUCCAUGGACUUUACAGUGUCCCAGAACUUUUUUGAGUUUGUGUUGCAGGAUGCAAAUUUCUGCUCAAAUCUAUCCUUGGCUUUUCUAACUGCCUGUGUAUAUUGGUUUCAAGCUUCCCUGAAAAGUUGCAUAUCACGGGGGCUGUUUGCAUAAAAUGUAUGACUGGGUGUAAGGUGUCAAAAAUCUUCCCAGCCCCCCCCCUCCCAUUUUCUAUGGGUGAGGAGAGGGCCUGGUUAUUUGUCAAUCAUUGCCAAGCUGAUGUGAGCCCUUGGAUCCUCAUGUGUAAUUAUGUAGACACUACUUUGAAAAAUGUCAAAUAUAAAAUCAAUUAGGAUUUUUUUGAACACAUUAUUUUUUUGGGUUGCUACAUGAUUCCAUAUGUGUUUUCAUUAUCAUUAUCACUAUUAUUCUACAAUGUAAAAAUAAAGAAACCCUUGAAUGAGUAGUGACAAGACUUUUGACUGGUUCUCAAGGGACUGAUUGGUGUCACACUUUUUCUCCAUGCCUAGCAAACAAAGCUGAUUAAUCAAAUUGCAUUCUAAACUGACCAUGUUUAGGUGAUUUAAAAAUAUAUAUAUAUUUUACCUUUAUUUAACUAGGCAAGUCAGUUAAGAAGAAAUUAUUAUUUUCAA